AUAAUCAUCUUCCAAGCAGAGAAAAGCAAGGAUAUCUAGUAAAUUAGAGUAUCAAUGAAGUGAAGUGAAAAAUGAGUCUACUACCUAAACAAAGUCCAGAAAUCAAAAGAAACAUGCAAAACUGUACACAAGACAAAACAAAAACUACCUAGAAAACAAAAAAUUUAAUGCAAAAAAAAACAAAAACUAACAAAGAAAAAUCAGUGUCUACCCCAAUAGACCACACUUAAACUACAUAGUGUCCUCAAUGUAUCACAAGCAUAAGAUCACAAUCAUAAUAGUCAACAUAUCAAGGACAAGGGCAAUAAAAGUAAGGAUCUAAGAAGAAGUGAUUGUUGAUGAGCGGGUUCAGUUGGUGCCUAUUGUUGUGGAAGCUCAUGUGUGUGCUUGCACCUUUGUUUUCCACUAUGGGUGCUUGUUGGUCAAAUUCAUAUGUACCUCCUGCAAUAGGGUUAGUGCAAUGUGGCUCCAAAGAAAUGAAAUGCAGGGGUAUAACACCCAAUCCCAUUGUAACAGGCUGACCCUCAGAUAUACCC
rnacentral:lncRNA from 1 species